rnacentral:rRNA from 1 species
UGAUCCUGGCUCAGAUUGAACGCUGGCGGCAUGCCUUACACAUGCAAGUCGAACGGUAACAGGUCUUUCGGGAUGCUGACGAGUGGCGAACGGGUGAGUAAUACAUCGGAACGUGCCCAGUAAUGGGGGAUAGCUCGGCGAAAGCCGGAUUAAUACCGCAUACGCCCUGAGGGGGAAAGUGGGGGACCGCAAGGCCUCACGUUAUUGGAGCGGCCGAUGGCUGAUUAGCUAGUUGGUAGGGUAAAGGCCUACCAAGGCGACGAUCAGUAGCUGGUCUGAGAGGACGAUCAGCCACACUGGGACUGAGACACGGCCCAGACUCCUACGGGAGGCAGCAGUGGGGAAUUUUGGACAAUGGGGGAAACCCUGAUCCAGCAAUGCCGCGUGUGCGAAGAAGGCCUUCGGGUUGUAAAGCACUUUUGUCAGGGAAGAAAUCCUUUGGGCUAAUACCCUAGGGGGAUGACGGUACCUGAAGAAUAAGCAUCGGCUAACUACGUGCCAGCAGCCGCGGUAAUACGUAGGGUGCAAGCGUUAAUCGGAAUUACUGGGCGUAAAGCGUGCGCAGGCGGUUGUGUAAGACAGGUGUGAAAUCCCCGGGCUUAACCUGGGAAUUGCAUUUGUGACUGCACGACUAGAGUGUGUCAGAGGGGGGUGGAAUUACACGUGUAGCAGUGAAAUGCGUAGAUAUGUGGAGGAACACCAAUGGCGAAGGCAGCCCCCUGGGAUAACACUGACGCUCAUGCACGAAAGCGUGGGGAGCAAACAGGAUUAGAUACCCUGGUAGUCCACGCCCUAAACGAUGUCAACUAGUUGUUGGGGAUUUACUUCCUUGGUAACGUAGCUAACGCGUGAAGUUGACCGCCUGGGGAGUACGGCCGCAAGGUUAAAACUCAAAGGAAUUGACGGGGACCCGCACAAGCGGUGGAUGAUGUGGAUUAAUUCGAUGCAACGCGAAAAACCUUACCUACCCUUGACAUGGCAGGAACUUUCCAGAGAUGGAUUGGUGCUCGAAAGAGAACCUGCACACAGGUGCUGCAUGGCUGUCGUCAGCUCGUGUCGUGAGAUGUUGGGUUAAGUCCCGCAACGAGCGCAACCCUUGUCAUUAGUUGUUACGAAAGGGCACUCUAAUGAGACUGCCGGUGACAAACCGGAGGAAGGUGGGGAUGACGUCAAGUCCUCAUGGCCCUUAUGGGUAGGGCUACACACGUGCUACAAUGGGGCGUACAAAGGGCUGCAACACAGCGAUGUGAAGCCAAUCCCAAAAAACGCCUCUCAGUUCAGAUCGCAGUAUGCAACUCGACUGCGUGAAGCUGGAAUCGCUAGUAAUCGUAUAUCAGCAAUGAUACGGUGAAUACGUUCCCGGACCUUGCACACACCGCCCGUCAAGCCAUGGAAGCUGGGUGUACCUAAAGUCGGUAACCGCAAGGAGCCGCCUAGGGUAAAACUAGUAACUGGGGCUAAGUCGUAACAAGGUAGCCGU